AGAGUUUGAUCCUGGCUCAGAACGAACGCUGGCGGCAUGCCUAAUACAUGCAAGUCGAACGCUUCCGGGGCUUUGGUCUCGGGGGAGUGGCGCACGGGUGAGUAGCGCGUGGGAACCUGCCCUGUUGUGGGGGAUAACCGAGGGAAACUUCGGCUAAUACCGCAUACGCCGGUUGUCUUGAGAGAGAUGGCCGGGAAAGAUUUAUCGCAGCAGGAGGGGCCCGCGUCGGAUUAGCUAGUUGGUGGGGUAACGGCCCACCAAGGCGAUGAUCCGUAGCUGGUCUGAGAGGAUGAUCAGCCACACUGGGACUGAGACACGGCCCAGACUCCUACGGGAGGCAGCAGUAGGGAAUAUUGGACAAUGGGCGCAAGCCUGAUCCAGCAAUGCCGCGUGAGUGAUGAAGGCCUUCGGGUUGUAAAGCUCUUUCGCCCGCGACGAUGAUGACGGUAGCGGGAGAAGAAGCCCCGGCUAACUUCGUGCCAGCAGCCGCGGUAAUACGAAGGGGGCGAGCGUUGUUCGGAUUUACUGGGCGUAAAGGGCGCGUAGGCGGCGGGUCAAGUCGAGUGUGAAAGCCCCGGGCUCAACCUGGGAAUUGCGCUCGAGACUGGUCUGCUUGAGUUCGGGAGAGGAGCGUGGAAUUCCCAGUGUAGAGGUGAAAUUCGUAGAUAUUGGGAAGAACACCGGUGGCGAAGGCGGCGCUCUGGACCGAGACUGACGCUGAGGCGCGAAAGCGUGGGGAGCAAACAGGAUUAGAUACCCCCGUAGUCC
rnacentral:rRNA from 1 species